rnacentral:rRNA from 1 species
UACGGGGGGUGCAAGCGUUAUUCGGAUUUAUUGGGCGUAAAGAGCGCGUAGGCGGUUUAUCAAGUCAGAUGUGAAAGCCCUGGGCUUAACCUGGGAAGUGCAUUUGAAACUAGUAGACUUGAGUAUGGGAGAGGGGAGUGGAAUUCCUGGUGUAGAGGUGAAAUUCGUAGAUAUCAGGAGGAACACCGGUGGCGAAGGCGACUUCCUGGACCAAUACUGACGCUGAGGCGCGAAGGCGUGGGGAG